rnacentral:rRNA from 1 species
UGGGGAAUAUUGGACAAUGGGCGCAAGCCUGAUCCAGCAAUGCCGCGUGUGUGAAGAAGGCCUUCGGGUUGUAAAGCACUUUUAUCAGGAGCGAAACGCUGUCGGCUAAUACCCGGCGGAACUGACGGUACCUGAGGAAUAAGCACCGGCUAACUUCGUGCCAGCAGCCGCGGUAAUACGAAGGGUGCAAGCGUUAAUCGGAAUUACUGGGCGUAAAGCGUGCGUAGGCGGUUUCUUAAGUCUGCUGUGAAAUCCCCGGGCUCAACCUGGGAAUGGCAGUGGAUACUGGGAGGCUAGAGUGUGUCAGAGGGUGGUGGAAUUCCCGGUGUAGCGGUGAAAUGCGUAGAGAUCGGGAGGAACAUCAGUGGCGAAGGCGGCCACCUGGGACAACACUGACGCUGAGGCACGAAAGCGUGGGGAGCAAACAGGAUUAGAUACCCUGGUAGUCCACGCCCUAAACGAUGCGAACUGGAUGUUGGUCUCAACUCGGAGAUCAGUGUCGAAGCUAACGCGUUAAGUUCGCCGCCUGGGGAGU